GUAGGUGAACCUGCGGAAGGAUCAUUACAAAUCCAUCCACGUCUCCCAUUCGAGACCACGUUGAAAUGUUCCCUAGUGUGUGGGUGUUGUCUGGUGGACGGUGGCGAUGGCCUUGACUGGGUUCACUCUCAGUCUCUCUUGGGUCAUCAGCAUCAGCAUCAUCAUCACGCCCCGCGCACUAGGUUGUAAACUAGUACCAUCCUCUUGUUGAUCAAAUGUAUCUUGGCUUGAUCGUGUCACGCGCAUGAUCAAGGACAAACAAAGUACAACUUAUAACAAUGGAUCUCUAGGCUCUU
rnacentral:misc_RNA from 1 species